UACGAAGGACCCGAGCGUUAUCCGGAUUUAUUGGGUUUAAAGGGUGCGUAGGCGGAUUAGUAAGUCAGUGGUGAAGGCCCAUCGCUUAACGGUGGAAUUGCCAUUGAUACUGCUAGUCUUGAGUAUGGUUGAGGUGGGCGGAAUGUGUCAUGUAGCGGUGAAAUGCUUAGAUAUGACCCAGAACACCAAUUGCGAAGGCAGCUCGCUAAACCAUAACUGACGCUGAUGCACGAAAGCGUGGGGAGCAAACAGG
rnacentral:rRNA from 1 species